CCGAUCUUUGAAAACCUUCAUCUUUAUGAUACGCUGAUGAUAUCCAGGGACACUGUAUUCUGAAGCAUUUAAAGGUCUACUUGUAGAUGAUUCAUGCAAGGCAUUGCCUUUUCUUCUUUUGAGAACACAAGCAUGGUCUGAAGUAUGGGGUCAAGCAAAUGCAUCAAUACCUGCUUGCAAGAGUCUGGAACCGAGGACACAAGAAAAACAACAAGCAAAACUGAUUUCCACACGAGGAGCGGAAAUGUGAAUGAUAAAGUAGUCCUGCACCAUAGCAGAGAGGAAUAGCCACUAUCCUGGCUGACACAACUUUGUG
rnacentral:lncRNA from 1 species